UACGGAGGGUGCGAGCGUUAUCCGGAAUCACUGGGUUUAAAGGGUGCGUAGGCGGCCUGGUAAGUCAGGGGUGAAAGCCCGCCGCUCAACGGCGGGACUGCCCUUGAUACUGUCAGGCUCGAAUUGGGUUGAGGCCGGCGGAAUGUGGCAUGUAGCGGUGAAAUGCUUAGAUAUGCCAUAGAACACCGAUUGCGAAGGCAGCCGGCCAAGCCCUGAUUGACGCUGAGGCACGAAAGCGUGGGGAGCGAACAGG
rnacentral:rRNA from 1 species